rnacentral:tRNA from 1 species
GGUUGUGGCUCAGUGGCAGAGUACUUGCCUAGCAUGUGUGAGGCACUGGGUUUGAUUCUCAGCACCA